GAUGAACGCUGACAGAAUGCUUAACACAUGCAAGUCUUUGGCGAAGCUGUGCUUGCACAGCCUAGCCAAGGCGGACGGGUGAGUAACGCGUAAGGAACUUGCCCUGCAGUCAGGGAUAACAGACGGAAACGACUGAUAAGACCUGGUAAAGUCAGGCGGACUCAUGUCCAGCCUGAUGAAAAGAGAUGUUGCAGGAGAGCCUUGCGUCCUAUUAGCUUGUUGGUGGGGUAACGGCCCACCAAGGCGAUGAUAGGUAGCCGGCCUGAGAGGGUGGACGGCCACAAGGGGACUGAGAUACGGCCCUUACUCCUACGGGAGGCAGCAGUGGGGAAUAUUGGACAAUGGGGGCAACCCUGAUCCAGCAAUUCUGAGUGCACGAUGAAGGUUUUCGGAUUGUAAAGUGCUUUCAGCAGGGAAGAAAAAAUGACGGUACCUGCAGAAGAAGCGACGGCUAAAUACGUG
rnacentral:rRNA from 1 species